GCCAGCCGGUGGAUAACUCGGCUUGGGCGCCGAGGAAGGGCGUGGCAAGCUGCGAUAAGCCCCGGGUAGCCGCAUGCAGGCAUCGAUCCGGGGAUGCCCGAAUGGGAUUUCCUGUAGCCGGCUGCGAAAGCGGUCGGCUACGUACCGCGCAAAGCGCGGUACGGGAACCCCCUGAACGGAAACAUCCAAGUAGGGGGAGGAAAAGAAACCAAAACGGGAUUCCCUGAGUAACGGCGAGUGAAAGGGGAGGAGCCCAAACCGAAUCCCUGCGGGUGACCGCAGGGAGAUGUAGGGUUAUGGACCGGUCGCCCACUUAGCCCGCUGAGCCGAAGCGACCUGGAAUGGUCCGCCGUAGAGGGUGACAGCCCCGUAGGCGAAGGCGGGCUAAGGGAAGGACCGGUAUCCAGAGUACCGUACCUCGGAUAUGGUGCGGGAAGUUGGGAGCCAUCGGCUUCCAAGGCUAAAUACGUCCCAAGACCGAUAGCGCACCAGUACCGUGAGGGAAAGUUGAAAAGAACCCCGGAAGGGGUGUGAAAAGCGCUUGAAACCGGCUGGUAACAGACGAGUGCGGCCCAAAAGGGAACUCCACCCGAAGGCUCUCUUUCUGGGAGCCGAGGGUGGAUACCAGGGUCGCACACUCCGUCUUGAAACACGGGCCGGGGAGUUCAUGGUCAUGGCGAGCUUAAGCGCUUACCAAGGCGCGUAGGCGUAGGGAAACCGACAUGCCCGCAACCAGGGUUUAUCCCCUGGUGAGGGGCGGGGUCCGAAAGGGCCUGGAGUCAUGGCCAUGAGACUAGAAACCGGGCGAUCUAGCCCUGGGCAGGGCGAAGCCGGGCGAAAGCCCGGUCGAGGCCCGAAGGGGUCUUGACGUGCAAUUCGGUCCUCUGACCCGGGGCUAGGGGCGAAAAACCAAUCUAGCCCGGUGAUAGCUAGUUCCCUCCGAAGUGAGUUGCAGCUCAGCCUCCGGCGAGGCAGCCCAGGGGGUAGAGCACCGAUAGGGGGGUAAGGGUCCGAAAGGGCCCGCCUUCCUUUCGAACUCCGAAUACCUGGGCGCCGUAGACCCGGGGAGUGGGGUGUAGGGGGUAAGCUCCUACGCCGAGAGGGGAACAACCCAGACCUGGGGUUAAGGCCCCUAAGUGCCCGCUAAGUGACAAACCAAAGGGCGUCUCCAGCCUAAGACAGCGGGGCCGUAGGCUUAGAAGCAGCCAUCGGCUAAGAAGUGCGUAACAGCUUACCCGCCGAGGCUGGGGGCCCCGAAAAUUGACGGGUCUAAGCGGGCCGCCGAAACCCCGGUCCACCAAGCAAGUGCUUGGUGGAGGUAGGAGGGCGUGGCGGUUGGGCAGAAGCCGGGCCGUGAGGUCCGGUGGACCGGCCGCCAAUGUAGAUCCCGGUGGUAGUAACAGCGAAGAGGGGUGAGAAUCCCCUCCGCCGAAGGGGCAAGGGUCUCCUGGCAAUGCGUCGUCAGCCAGGAGUAAGCCGGUCCUAAGGCCGACCUUAACCGGGUAGGCCGAAAGGGAAACCGGUUAAGAUUCCGGUGCCUCCGGGAUACGUGCGGCGACGCAAGCCCAGCCUCCGACGCUUCGGGGUAGGCCGAGCCGGGCCGUAGCCCGGUCUAACCGUAUAAGCCUGGGGAGUGCCGUAAAGGCGAGAACCAGGUGAAAGCGGGAAUGGCCGCCCGUAUGGGCGGUUCGGCUGAUCCCUGGAGCCCGUGAAAAGGGGGCUGGGAAGGAUUCCCGGAGACCGUGCCGAGAACCGACACAGGUGCCCCUAGGUGAGAAGCCUAAGGCGUAUCGGGUCACUCCGGGGUGAGGGAACUCGGCAAAUUGGCCCCGUACCUUCGGUAGAAGGGGUGCCUGCGGCCUUGGCGGAGACGCUGGGGCCGCAGGUCGCAGUGACUAGGGGGUCCCGACUGUUUAAUAACAACAUAGGAAGCCGCAAGACCGAAAGGUUUUGAACGGCUUCUGAAUCCUGGCCAGUGGGGGUACCUGAAACCCGGGUCCAACCGGGCUAAGGGCCCCUAAACGCCGGGAGUAACUCUGACUCUCUUAAGGUAGCCAAAUGCCUUGUCGGGUAAGUUCCGACGUGCAUGAAUGGAUCAACGAGGGCCCCACUGUCCCCACCCGGAGCCCGGUGAACCCACGUAACGUGGGCGAACAGUCCACGAGCCCCCAGCGGGGAAAGAAGACCCUGUGGAGGUUUACUGCAGCCUGUUGCUGGGAUGCGGUCGAAGGCACAGAGCGUAGGCGGGAGCCGUCGAUCCCAGCUUCUCCGGGAGCUGGGGGAGGCGCCGAUGUAACACCGCCUGCCUUUGGCUGCAUCCCUUACCGGGGCCUGGUGCCCUGGGACAACGGCAGGUGGGCAGUUCGGCUGGGGCGGCACCCCCUUGAAAAGAUAUCGAGGGGGCCCAAAGGUCGGCUUAGGCGGGACAGAAACCCGCCGUUAAGUGCAAGGGCAAAAGCCGGCCUGACUGGACCCUUGAACGCAAGGGGUCCAGAGGCGAAAGCCGGGCCUAGCGAUCCUUCAACUCCCACCGAUGGGGGUUGGAGGUGACAGAAAACUUACCCCAGGGAUAACAGGCUCGUCGCGGGCGAGAGUUCCCAUCGACCCCGCGGCUUGGUACCUCGAUGUCGGCUCUUCCCAUCCUGGCCGUGCAGCAGCGGCCAAGGGUGCGGCUGUUCGCCGAUUAAAGGGGAACGUGAGCUGGGUUUAGACCGUCGUGAGACAGAUCGGAUUUUACCUGCUGGGGGUGCUGGCUGCCUGAGGGGAAGGUGCUCCCAGUACGAGAGGAACGGAGCGCCGGGGCCAACGGUUUACCGGUUGUCCUACAGGGCAGAGCCGGGCAGCUGCGCCCCUGCGGAUAAGGGCUGAAAGCAUCUAAGCCCGAAGCCGCUCCCGAAAAUAGGCAGCCACUCCGGAGC
rnacentral:rRNA from 1 species